ACGGAAGGCAGCAGUGGGGAAUAUUGCACAAUGGGGGAAACCCUGAUGCAGCGACGCCGCGUGAGCGAAGAAGUAUUUCGGUAUGUAAAGCUCUAUCAGCAGGGAAGAUAAUGACGGUACCUGACUAAGAAGCCCGGCUAACUACGUGCCAGCAGCCGCGGUAAUACGUAGGGGGCAAGCGUUAUCCGGAUUUACUGGGUGUAAAGGGAGCGCAGGCGGUUUUUUAAGCCUGAUGUGAAAGCCCGCGGCUCAACUGCGGGACUGCAUUGGAAACUGGAGAACUAGAGUGUCGGAGGGGCAAGUGGAAUUCCUAGUGUAGCGGUGAAAUGCGUAGAUAUUAGGAGGAACACCAGUGGUGAAGGCGGCUUGCUGGACGAUAACUGACGCUGAGGCUCGAAAGCGUGGGGAGCAAACAGGAUUAGAUACCCUGGUA
rnacentral:rRNA from 1 species